AGUGUACGCUGGCGGUAGGCCUAACACAUGCAAGUCGAACGGCAGCACAGUAAGAGCUUGCUCUUACGGGUGGCGAGUGGCGGACGGGUGAGGAAUACAUCGGAAUCUACUUUUUCGUGGGGGAUAACGUAGGGAAACUUACGCUAAUACCGCAUACGACCUACGGGUGAAAGCAGGGGAUCUUCGGCCCUUGCGCGAUUGAAUGAGCCGAUGUCGGAUUAGCUAGUUGGCGGGGUAAAGGCCCACCAAGGCGACGAUCCGUAGCUGGUCUGAGAGGAUGAUCAGCCACACUGGAACUGAGACACGGUCCAGACUCCUACGGGAGGCAGCAGUGGGGAAUAUUGGACAAUGGGCGCAAGCCUGAUCCAGCCAUACCGCGUGGGUGAAGAAGGCCUUCGGGUUGUAAAGCCCUUUUGUUGGGAAAGAAAAGCAGCAGGUUAAUACCCCGCUGUUCUGACGGUACCCAAAGAAUAAGCACCGGCUAACUUCGUG
rnacentral:rRNA from 1 species